GAGAAAUUAGUUAACGCAUAUAACUUCAGCUUGUCAAGCUGGUAUAACCUUAGGGUAUUUCUUG
rnacentral:tRNA from 1 species